UGUGUAGGCGGUUCCCUAAGUUUGGUGUGAAAUCUCCCGGCUCAACCGGGAGGGUGCGCCGAAAACUGGGGGGCUAGAGUGCGGGAUGGGAGAGUGGAAUUCCUGGUGUAGCGGUGAAAUGCGUAGAUAUCAGGAGGAACACCGGUGGUGUAGACGGCUCUCUGGACCGUAACUGACGCUGAGACACGAAAGCGUGGGUAGCAAACA
rnacentral:rRNA from 1 species